rnacentral:sRNA from 1 species
GGAGGCGCUGAGCAUGGCCCACGAGGUGGACCCAGAAGGGGACAGGACCAUCGGGAUCCUGACCAAACCAGAUCUAAUGGACAAGGGCACUGAGAAAAGUGUCAUGAAUGUGGUGCGGAACCUCACGUACCCCCUCAAGAAGGGCUACAUGAUCGUGAGGUGCCGGGGCCAGCAGGAGCUCACAAACAGGCUGAGCUUGGCAGAGGCAACCAAGAAAGAAAUUACAUUCUUUCAAACACAUCCAUAUUUCAGAGUUCUCCUGGAGGAGGGGUCAGCCACGGUUCCCCGACUGGCAGAAAGACUUACCAGUGAACUCAUCAUGCACAUCCAAAAAUCGCUCCCGUUGUUAGAAGAACAAAUAAGGGAGAGCCACCAGAAGGCGACCGAGGAGCUGCGGCGUUGCGGGGCCGACAUCCCCAGCCAGGAGGCCGACAAGAUGUUCUUUCUAAUUGAGAAAAUCAAGAUGUUUAAUCAGGACAUCGAAAAGUUAGUAGAAGGAGAAGAAGCUGUAAGGGAGAAUGAGACCCGUUUAUACAAUAAAAUCAGAGAGGAUUUUAAAAACUGGGUAGGCAUACUUGCAACUAACACCCAAAAAGUUAAAAAUAUUAUCCACGAAGAAGUUGAAAAAUAUGAAAAGCAGUAUCGAGGCAAGGAGCUUCUGGGAUUUGUCAACUACAAGACAUUUGAGUUCAUCGUGCAUCAGUACAUCCAGCAGCUGGUGGAGCCCGCCCUUAGCAUGCUCCAGAAAGCCGUGGGUGAGGACUUUCAAGCAGGACUCCCAAACCAUCACUCUCGUACCUUCCAUAGACCCCAGUGCCUUGGAGGGA